UACGUAGGGUGCGAGCGUUGCCCGGAUUUAUUGGGCGUAAAGGGCGCGCAGGCGGCCACGCGCGUCCGUUGUGAAAUCGCUCGGCUCAACUGGGCGAGGUCAGCGGAUACGGCGUGGCUGGAGCAAGCUAGGGGCAAUGGAAUUCCCGGUGGUAGUGGUGGAAUGCGUAGAUAUCGGGAGGAACACCAGUGGCGAAGGCGGUUGCCUGGAGCUUUGCUGACGCUGAGGCGCGAAAGCGUGGGGAGCGAGUCCGG
rnacentral:rRNA from 1 species